rnacentral:rRNA from 1 species
AUUGAACGCUGGCGGCAGGCCUAACACAUGCAAGUCGAGCGGAGCGGCGGUAGGGUGAGUAAUGCCUAGGAAUCUGCCCGGUCGUGGGGAUAACGUCCGGCAACGGGCACUAAUACCGAAUACUAUCAGCUGAGCCUAGGGCGGAUUAGCUAGUUGGUGGGGUAAAGGCCUACCAAGGCGACGAUCCGUAGCGGGUCUGAGAGGAUGAUCAGUCACACUGGAACUGAGACACGGUCCAGACUCCUACGGGAGGCAGAAGUGGGGAAUAUUGCACAAUGGGCGCAAGCCUGAUGCAGCCAUGCCGCGUGUAUGAAGAAGGCCGUCGGGUUGUAAAGUACUUUCAGCGGGGAGGCGUUACCCGCAGAAGAAGCACCGGCUAACUCCGUGCCAGCAGCCGCGGUAAUAC